UAAGUGCAAUUAGAUCCUUUUCAGUAAUUGAAAGUAAAAUAAAAGAAUAUGCUGUAGGAUGCAAAGGUAGUACUGCAACACUGUGAGCAAACAGCCUAAUUGGAAAAUGAGUGGCAUACUUAAAGACAAACUAUUUUUGAGGCAUCAAUUAUAGUACCUUUCAUUGGAAGAAAGAAUGAUUAAAUGGGAGUGGCUUGCGGAUGUUCAUCUUCCUCUCUAAAUAGCAAAGUGAAUAAAAAUAAACCUUCUGAACUGACAACUUCUAUUAUACGGUUUUUCCAUUUGGACUCUGCAUGCUUAAAUGGGCCAUUAAUCACAGCAGGCACAUGUAUGUGGAAGAGCUUUGUAAACUGCAAAACAUACAAAUCCUGUUCCCUUCUUAUUUUCUAAAAUAGCCAUGUUUAAUCUACUUUUUAGCUGCUUCCUUUUAUGAAUUAUAAAGAAUUAUAUUGUAAUUUUUUUUUCCUCCCUUUCAGUAUUUAGUGUCUCUGAUCCGGGACAAGCUAGGAUGGAUGUGGGUUUUCUACUUUUUCAUUCUCAUGACAAGUUGUACAAUUGUGUUUAUCUCGCCAUUA
rnacentral:lncRNA from 10 species